AAAGUUGGUUCAUCCCAGCAGUAGGUUAGAGUUCACAAUUGCCGCAGUGUAUGUGCGACUGUGCGCUGCUGUUACCGGGUUUUUAAUUUGUUGAAAAGUGAUUCAUCGAAAAAAAUAAGAAGAAGAACGGAGGAGAAUGGCCUCUGAUUCGGGCUACGGUCAGCCUGGCGCUCAAAGCUAUGGAUCUUAUCCUCCGGCUCAGCAGAGUGGGCCGGGCUACAGUCAAGGAAAUGGAAGUGGCUCAUAUGGCGGACAGAGUUAUGCUGGCUAUGGACAGUCUGCUGAGGGUUAUGGCCAAACACAGGCAGCAAGCUAUGGCCAGCCGGCCUAUGAUGUCUAUGGGCAACAAGGUUCGGAUUCCGCUGCUGGUGGUGCUGACAAGUCGUCAUACAGUCAGCCAAGUUCGUAUGGCGGCACCGCCGGUGGUGGCUCUUAUGGACAAUCUCAAGGAGGCUACAAAGGUCGAAGUGAAGGUGAAGGCGGUCAGGGCAGGAGGUAUGGUGGAGAUGAUGGGAGCUCAGACAGGGGCUCUUCUGACGGGUAUAGAGGCCGAGGGCGUGGUGGGUACGAGCGCGGGAUACGACAGGGGUGGAAGAGGCGGCCCUCCAUCCGGUAUGGGAGGUGGUGACCGUGGUGGCUACAAAAAUUUCGGUGGUCCUCGAGACUACGGCUCAAGGGAUGAACCAACUGGAGGUAGCGGUGGUAGCCAAGGUAGCGGCAGCGGUGGGGAGCAGGACAACUCUGACAACAACACCAUCUUUGUCCAGGGACUGGGAGAAGAUGUCACAAGUGAUGAAGUGGGCAACUACUUCAAACAGAUUGGGAUUAUUAAGUUGAACAAGAAGACUGGCCUGCCCAUGAUUAACCUGUACUCUGACAAAGCUACUGGAAGACUGAAAGGAGAGGCCACGGUCUCAUUUGAUGAUCCACCUUCCGCCAAAGCAGCCAUUGAGUGGUUUGACGGCAAAGAAUUCCAAGGGAAACCCCUCAAAGUGUCUUUUGCCACCCGAAGAGCUGAGUUCACGCAGAGGGGUGGUGGUGCAGGAGGAGGAAGAGGUGGCGGAGGAGGUUUUGGAGGCCGUGGUCGUGGACGUGGGUUUGGAGGAGGUGGAGGUGGUGGUGGUGGUGGUGGACCCAACUUUGACAUUAAGGGAGGGGACUGGCCAUGUCCUAACAGUUCUUGUGGCAACAUGAACUUUGCGCGACGAUACGAAUGCAACAAGUGUGGCACACCGAAACCAGGGGACAGUGGAGGAGAUCGUGGUGGUGGCGGCAGAGGAGGGUAUGGUGGUGACAGGGGUGGUGGCUACAGAGGCCGUGGGGGAUUCCGUGGAGGUGACCGCGGUGGUUAUGGCGGAGGUGGAUAUGGUGGUGACAGGGGCUACAAGAUGGGAGGAAGAGGUGACCAUAGAGAAGACAGAAGAGACCGGCCAUACUAAGGAUUCACGUGGACACCAUUCCAGCCCAGGGGGAAGGGGGGUUGAUAUACACUUUGAUUUGCAUUCCUUUCAUUACCAAUGCAUCACAUGUACUGCUUCUGAUCUGUCUUGUCGGGAGGUCAGGGUAAAGAUGUGCAACUACUGUGAAAGGACUUUUGGGCUGAUAGGCAGGGUUGUUGAAGUGGGCAGGGUCAAAUGUCAUGUCUUUUUGUUUAUUUUCAUUUCCCCGAUUCUAAGUCCAGGUAUUGUGAGGUAGACUUCCAAGACUUCGUAUCAUUGUUUUGUAAAAUUGAAAUGAACUGUUUUACUUGGGUUUCUCUUUUUUCCAAAUGAUAUUAAACUGUUCUGAUCUUA